CCUACGGGGGGCAGCAGUGGGGAAUAUUGGACAAUGGGGGCAACCCUGAUCCAGCCAUGCCGCGUGUGUGAAGAAGGCCCUCGGGUUGUAAAGCACUUUCAGUGAGGAAGAACGCCUGGUGGUUAAUACCCAUCAGGAAAGACAUCACUCACAGAAGAAGCACCGGCUAACUCCGUGCCAGCAGCCGCGGUAAUACGGAGGGUGCGAGCGUUAAUCGGAAUUACUGGGCGUAAAGCGCGCGUAGGUGGCUUGAUAAGCCGGUUGUGAAAGCCCCGGGCUCAACCUGGGAACGGCAUCCGGAACUGUCAAGCUAGAGUGCAGGAGAGGAAGGUCGAAUUCCCGGUGUAGCGGUGAAAUGCGUAGAGAUCGGGAGGAAUACCAGUGGCGAAGGCGGCCUUCUGGACUGACACUGACACUGAGGUGCGAAAGCGUGGGUAGCAAACAGGAUUAGAUACCCGGGUAGUC
rnacentral:rRNA from 1 species